rnacentral:rRNA from 1 species
UCGAGAAUAAUUCACAAUGGGGGCAACCCUGAUGGUGCAACGCCGCGUGGAGGAUGACGGUCUUCGGAUUGUAAACUCCUGUCAUCCGGGAGUAAGACCUGGCUGUGAAUAGCAGACAGGGUUGAUAGUACCGGAAGAGGAAGGGACGGCUAACUUCGUGCCAGCAGCCGCGGUAAUACGAAGGUCCCGAGCGUUGUUCGGAAUCACUGGGCGUAAAGGGAGCGUAGGCGGCGUGGUAAGUCAGAUGUGAAAUCCCGGGGCUCAACCCCGGAACUGCAUCCGAUACUGCCAUGCUCGAGUGAUGGAGAGGUAGCUGGAAUUCUUGGUGUAGCAGUGAAAUGCGUGGAUAUCAAGAGGAACACUCGUGGCGAAAGCGAGCUACUGGACAUUGACUGACGCU